UACGGAGGGUGCAAGCGUUAUCCGGAUUCACUGGGUUUAAAGGGUGCGUAGGCGGGUUGGUAAGUCCGUGGUGAAAUCCCCCAAGCUUAACUUGGGAACUGCCGUGGAUACUAUCAAUCUUGAAUAUCGUGGAGGUAAGGCGGAAUAUGUCAUGUAGCGGUGAAAUGCUUAGAUAUGACAUAGAACACCAAUUGCGUAGGCAGCUUACUACACGAUCAUUGACGCUGAGGCACGAAAGCGUGGGGAGCAAACAGG
rnacentral:rRNA from 1 species